CCUAGUUGACACAAUAUUUCAUUUAAGGCACACUGAGUUCUCAGAAUCUUUAUUGUGGAGACCGCAAUAAAAACUGGAGGCUUUCUUUUUUGUUUUUUUUAAUUAUGUUCUGCAAAGCUCUAGUUAUUGGUAUACUUUGAAAGAGAUGGAAAAUUACCUUCUAGUGCAAUAGUUAAGAACGAAACUGCUUACAGCCAUCAAUGAGUUUAGGUCAUCAGUGAUGGUUUCUGUAUACUGUGUAGAUUUCUAUGUGACCAAUAGAGAUUUUUUCCCUUUCAUACAGCAAACAUUUGUGCUUUCUUGUCUAAUUUCACAUUCUGAUUCUUGAAAGCAGGAAAAAGACGUUGAAGCGAUCAAAGAGAGUCUCCACGGCUAUCAGAAUAGCUUUUGGACGUGCAGUGUCUCUAAGCUUGGAUAAUCUGGUACUGCAAUCAUCUCAGGGAUUAAACCACUUUCUAUCGGAUAUGGUCUCGGUAUACCCGAUCAUGAUACCGAAGGACGGCUUGUCACGGUGGAGUUUGAUGACUUCUAUUUACUGUGUGGAUAUGUUCCAAAUUCUGGUGAUGGACUACGACGAUUAACGUACAGAAUUACAGAGUGGGAUCUUUCUCUUGGCAAUCACCUGAAAGUAAGUGUUCCUUUCUUUACUGACAUCUUACGCACCAUGUAUCAUUUGUCUACAGGUACCUCAAUUUUCAAGGUUAAGCUCUUUUGACUUUUUCAUUUUUGGAUAGGCAUCUUGAAUCUCAUCCAUUCAAAAUCAUCAAGCCAUUUAACCUUCAUUCAAUGAAUACAGCCAGGGAUACUUCCACUUUUUGUCUACUAGCACUAUUUGUUCUUAACUUCCACUUGUGGAUUUUCCCCUUUCGUAUUUGUUUCGGCUGUAUCUUGUUUUUCGUGUUCUAGACAUUACUAUUUUGGUUUGUUAACGUCUAAUCUCCCAAAAAAAAAAAAAAAAUCUUCUGUGGCUUUGCAGGAGCUAGAAAAGUUGAAACCUGUUGUUUUGACAGGUGAUCUAAAUUGCGCCCACAAGGAGAUAGAUAUCUAUAAUCCUACUAUAUGUACUAUAUUGUCACGUUAUACUCUUUAUUUAAGAGCUAUACCCUGUAUUUAUUUGAGAAUCAACACAUUGAUUUAUCUCUGUCUAAAUAUGUCAAAUCUUGACCUUAUUGCCUUCAACAACCUGAGCAAAUAAUGUUGUAUAUCUUCUUUAUUAAUUUGAAAACCAUUAAACAAUUGUUUCC